GACGUGACUUCAGAGUUUGAUCCUGGCUCAGGAUGAACGCUGGCGGCGUGCCUUAGACAUGCAAGUCGAACGAAGCAUCUUUCUCCGAUCCCUUCGGGGUGAAGAAACUGAUGACUUAGUGGCGAACGGGUGAGUAACACGUGGGUGACCUGCCCCGAAGUGCGGCAUAACAGGGGGAAACUCCUGCUAAUUCCGCAUGUGCUCCCACCUCUUGGGGUGUGAGUAAAGAUUCAUCGCUUCGGGAUCGGGCCCGCGGUCCAUCAGCUAGUUGGUAGGGUAAUGGCCUACCAAGGCGACGACGGAUAGCCGGCCUGAGAGGGCGAUCGGCCACAGGGGCACUGAGACACGGGCCCC
rnacentral:rRNA from 1 species